GACCCGAAAGAUGGUGAACUAUGCCCGAACAGGGUGAAGCCAGGGGAAACCCUGGUGGAAGCCCGAAGCGAUUCUGACGUGCAAAUCGAUCGUCUGAUUUGGGUAUAGGGGCGAAAGACUAAUCGAACCAUCUAGUAGCUGGUUCCCUCCGAAGUUUCCCUCAGGAUAGCUGGAACCCGUGUGUGCAGUUUUAUCAGGUAAAGCGAAUGAUUAGAGGUCUUGGGGUUGAAACAACCUCAACCUAUUCUCAAACUUUAAAUAGGUAAGACGUCCGACUUGCUCAAGUGAAGCCGGACCUCGAAUGCAGGGUUCCUAGUGGGCCAUUUUUGGUAAGCAGAACUGGCGAUGCGGGAUGAACCGAAAGCCGGGUUAAGGUGCCAAAGUCGACGCUCACCAGACCCCACAAAAGGUGUUGGUUGAUCCAGACAGCAGGACGGUGGCCAUAAAAGUCGGAACCCGCUAAGGAGUGUGUAACAACUCACCUGCCGAAUCAACCAGCCCUGAAAAUGGAUGGCGCUCAAGCGUCGCACCCACACCCGGCCGUCGGGCCGAGCUGGCUGGCCCGACGUGUAGGAGGGCGCAGCGGUAGUGUUGCAGCCUAAGGCGUGAGCCUGGGUCGAACUGCCGUUG
rnacentral:rRNA from 1 species